UCCUAAAAAGCUAGCCCGCCCCUUAGAAAAACAACCCCCUCUAAAUUAAACCACCCGCAGAGCAAGCAACAAACCAUUUUACCUCCCCAGUACCCGGGCGACAGAAAAGGAAAACCGGAGCAAUAGAGAAAGUACCGCAAGGAAAAGCUGAAAGAGAAAUGAAAUAACUACCCCAAGCUACAAAAAGCAGAGAUGACCCCUCGUACCUUUUGCAUCAUGACCUAGCCAGUACCCCUGAGCGUAGAGAAUUUUAGUUCAGCCCCCCGAAACUAGACGAGCUACUUCAAGACAGCCUAUGUUGGGCAAACCCGUCUCUGUCGCAAAAGAGUGGGAAGAUCUUCAAGUAGAGGUGACAAACCUACCGAGCCUAGUAAUAGCUGGUUGUCUGAGAAGUGAAUAUAAGUUCAGCCUCCCUAUUCCCCACGUCCAAGACAUCUAUGUCCUCCCAGACUAAAAGUGAACGAGAGAGUUAGUCAAAGAGGGUACAGCCCCUUUGAAAAAGGACACAACCUCCCCGGGAGACAAAAGAUCAUAAUUAACCUAAGGAGCCUUGUUUUAGUGGGCCUAAGAGCAGCCACCUAAGAAGAAAGCGUUAAAGCUCAUACAAACUCCGACCCCUAAUACCGAACCCAACUCUUUACUCCCCGACCACUAUCAGACCCUCCCACGAACCGUGGGAAAGACCCUGCUAGGAUGAGUAAUAAGAGGGACUGCCCCUCUCCUCCACACAUGUGUACGUCGGAACGGACCUACCACCGACAACUAACGAUCCCCCACUCGAGGGAAAUGUAGCACUGCCCGAAUAGCCAGAAAACUUAACAUGAUAAACCGUUAACCCAACACAGGUGUGCACGCCCGGAAAGACUUAGAUAAAGGGAAGGAACUCGGCAAACACAAGCCUCGCCUGUUUACCAAAAACAUCGCCUCUUGCAAAACGAACGAAUAAGAGGUCCCGCCUGCCCUGUGACUAUAUGUUUAACGGCCGCGGUAUUUUGACCGUGCGAAGGUAGCGCAAUCACUUGUCUUUUAAAUGGAGACCUGUAUGAAAGGCAUCACGAGGGCUUAGCUGUCUCCCCUUUAAAGUCAAUGAAAUUGAUCUCCCCGUGCAGAAGCGGGGAUAUGCUCGUAAGACGAGAAGACCCUAUGGAGCUUAAGAUAAAAGGCGAGUCAUGUCAAACACCCCUUCAAAGGAAGUUGAACGAAAUGAUACCCGCUGGAAUGUCUUCGGUUGGGGCGACCGCGGGGAAAGACAAAACCCCCACAUGGACCAGGGCCACUAUAGCCCUAAAACCUAGACCCACAGGUCAAGUCAACAGUAAAUCUGACUACCAAAGAGCCGGCAAUGCCGAUCAACGGACCGAGUUACCCUAGGGAUAACAGCGCAAUCCCCUCCCAGAGCCCUUAUCGACGAGGGGGUUUACGACCUCGAUGUUGGAUCAGGACAUCCUAAUGGUGCAGCCGCUAUUAAGGGUUCGUUUGUUCAACGAUUAAAGUCCUACGCGAUCUGAGUUCAGACCGGAGUAAUCCAGGUCAGUUUCUAUCUACACUUUGAUCUUUUCUAGUACGAAAGGACCGAAAAGAAGUGGCCCAUGUCAACGACACGCCACAUCCCCUACUAAUGAAUACAAAUAAAAUAGAAGGUGGACAAAAUGCCGUGCCCAAAAAUAGGGCUU
rnacentral:rRNA from 1 species